AUACGGAGGGUCCAAGCGUUAUCCGGAAUCAUUGGGUUUAAAGGGUCCGCAGGCGGUCAAUUAAGUCAGAGGUAAAAGCCCAUCGCUCAACGAUGGAACUGCCUUUGAUACUGGUUGACUUGAGUUAUACGGAAGUAGAUAGAAUAAGUAGUGUAGCGGUGAAAUGCAUAGAUAUUACUUAGAAUACCGAUUGCGAAGGCAGUCUACUACGUAUAUACUGACGCUGAGGGACGAAAGCGUGGGGAGCGAACAGGAUUAGAAACCCUAGUAGUCC
rnacentral:rRNA from 1 species